AUCUUACAUCAUUUAUUUUGUUAUUUCCUAUACAGGGCAGGGACUUUUCUUGGACAGAGAAGCUGAGAAGUAUCAGAUAAAGAUGACCUGCAUGUACUGGAAAAUAAUCUGUGGUUUAUAUGUAGGCGGAUGGAAGCAAACCAGGGAACAAAAGAAGAAUUUGUAGUUCACAGCCACAUGAGAUAGUCAAGUGUUAAAAGGGAAAAAGAGCUAUCGAAGGCAGGAAGCAAAAUGCCUUCAGAGAUAAAAGGUUAUUCGUGGCUGAGUGAAAAAAAUGGACAAUGAGCAGAAAAU
rnacentral:lncRNA from 1 species